ACUAUAUAUACAUAUGAAAUGGCGUCAGCUCUAAUUUUCUUACGAUAUCCUUAGGGGUGAUAUUGAAGCACUGCAUACUGAACCAUAUUAAUGAUGUCACCUAAAAUCCAUAUUAACAAUUCACCUAAAAAGGUGGUUUAUUUGUGGCGAUGUAGAAGAAGUUUCUUGAUUUUCGCGCGAAGGGAAAAAGAUAAUUUAAAAUUUUAUUCCACAAAAAUCUAUUUAUGAAAUCUUAAAAACUUUUAAGCAAUUAUGCAAUUGUAAAGAAAAACUGCUUUGAAAUCUCUUUUUCGAGCUAAACGUGAUCCCGACGGCGCUAAAGAAGGUCCUCUACUUCUGCAGUGAUUGGGUCUUAUCCAUUGAAACCUUAAAAAAGUGGAUCAUUUGUCUCUAAGUGAUCGCUCAUGCAAAUUCUAAAAAUGCAAGUUUAAGGAAAACGCGUUUAAAGAUAAACUGAUAGAGCUGAUUGAACUGAGCGGUUAUAUUUAGAAAACUGUAACUCAAAAAUUAUUUGAGUUGUCUAUUUGAAAGUUUUGGCAUGCCAUAUUUAAAGGUGUGCAGUUUAACAGUCGUUAGUGCUACUUUCUAUACAAACUAUAUCCAGAAAUCACCAAUAAAAUUUAUUUUUUCCAAUGGCUGCACAAAAGAAAAAUGCACCGAACGAACAAAGGAGUAAUUGAGUGAACAACCUAAAGACAACAAAUAAAAAGAACAAAAGGAAGCUCUGCUGAAAUUGACAAACAAAUUCUGAAAGCAAAAACAACACAACACAGAAAAUCGCAGCAAAGUGUAGUAAAUGCAGUGUUUGUAAAAACGAAAAUAAAAAGAGAAAAAGUGGAAAAUGUGGUUAGAACUGUGGUGAGACCACACAGCUAACUAUGUGAACUGAGUGCAACGGAAACGUCACAAUAAAUAGCAAGAGAAAACACUACAAAAACAACAACAACUAGGUAUAUACAAACGGCGGCGCGUCGUUGAGUGAUCGGGUCACUGCAAAAUUUUCUGCAGCUUUGAAUAUUUAACACAGCUAUAAAUAUUUAAAAAGCCUGAAAGAAAAGACAGACGGACGAAUGGUCAAAGGUAUGGUGAAUGCUGCUGGUGAUAAGACCUGUGGAGAUAUUUACGGAAGUACAGUUAUAACAUACUUGUAUAUAUGCAAAUAUAUACGAAUUGUUAUUUAUAUUUGUGCUUACAGAUUAAAACGCUCUAUCUAUUUGCUGGUCGCAAAAAAGAAAAUCAUAAAAAAUUGCUAAAAAACGGACCAUCACGUGGGAUGACCCCCUAAAGGAUUUCUAGGCAUCGUUAUAAACAUUGGAUAAUGGGAGCGGCAGUUGUAAUGGAAUCCUACAUCUAAGGAACUAGCCGGCAAAUUUCCACUCAAUUUGGUGCGAAAAGUUAUGCUGAUAUUCUUAUAUCACAGUGCAAAAAUGGGCAUAAUCGGACUAAAACCACACCUACUUCCUUCCAUGUGAUUCUUACGCGUUAGAGUUUAUGAAUUAAGCGCCAAUGAAGUUAUCGGAAUAAAAAUGUGUACAAAUAUAUUUCCUUCAAUCUACAAGUAUUACGACGAAGAAUUAUCGAAGUCGCAGCAUAACUUUUCAAGCGACAUAUACCAAAUAUGUGGACUUCCGUGCAAGCAUACCCUGAUUUUUACUGAUAAUAUCGGUCAAUCUGUGGAUUAAGAGAGAGAAGUCUAACAUGUUACUUUACACUCGAACUUAGCUCUAGUUACGCUUAUUCUGACUAUACUUGACUAAAUGUACGUGAUUGAUUAUAUCACUUCGCUAUAGACUUAUUAUAUAUAUUAUAUAUAUUUUAUAUUAUAUAUAUAUUAAUGGUAAGUAUAUCUAAUCUUAUAUUUUGUUGAAAGUUUUUAAAACAGUUGCUAACAUAAAAGUUUUAUCUGUUUUAAUAUAUAAUAUAUUUGUUGAACAUCAGCAACAUUUCUUGGUUAGAGAUCUUCUAUAGUUACAAAUUCAACCGUUUCCUAUGAGAUGAAAAUCAAUGUUCUCAAGAAGCGUCUUUGUGUGAUCUAAAAAUUAGUGUAACAGAUCAACUUUAUGCAUUCUUUUUGAAAAUAGAUUGGUUAAUUACUUUCUUCAUAAUUUUUUUGUUGUUGUUAUGUUAGCAAACGGUCGGCUAGUUUCCUCAAG